CAUGCAAGUCGAACGAGCGAGAGAGAGCUUGCUUUCUCGAGCGAGUGGCGAACGGGUGAGUAACGCGUGAGGAACCUGCCUCAAAGAGGGGGACAACAGUUGGAAACGACUGCUAAUACCGCAUAAGCCCACGACCCGGCAUCGGGUAGAGGGAAAAGGAGCAAUCCGCUUUGAGAUGGCCUCGCGUCCGAUUAGCUAGUUGGUGAGGUAACGGCCCACCAAGGCGACGAUCGGUAGCCGGACUGAGAGGUUGAACGGCCACAUUGGGACUGAGACACGGCCCAGACUCCUACGGGAGGCAGCAGUGGGGAAUAUUGCACAAUGGGGGAAACCCUGAUGCAGCGACGCCGCGUGGAGGAAGAAGGUCUUCGGAUUGUAAACUCCUGUUGUUGAGGAAGAUAAUGACGGUACUCAACAAGGAAGUGACGGCUAACUACGUGCCAGCAGCCGCGGUAAAACGUAGGUCACAAGCGUUGUCCGGAAUUACUGGGUGUAAAGGGAGCGCAGGCGGGAAGACAAGUUGGAAGUGAAAUCCAUGGGCUCAACCCAUGAACUGCUUUCAAAACUGUUUUUCUUGAGUAGUGCAGAGGUAGGCGGAAUUCCCGGUGUAGCGGUGGAAUGCGUAGAUAUCGGGAGGAACACCAGUGGCGAAGGCGGCCUACUGGGCACCAACUGACGCUGAGGCUCGAAAGUGUGGGUAGCAAACAGGAUUAGAUACCCUGGUAGUCCACACUGUAAACGAUGAUUACUAGGUGUUGGAGGAUUGACCCCUUCAGUGCCGCAGUUAACACAAUAAGUAAUCCACCUGGGGAGUACGACCGCAAGGUUGAAACUCAAAGGAAUUGACGGGGGCCCGCACAAGCAGUGGAGUAUGUGGUUUAAUUCGACGCAACGCGAAGAACCUUACC
rnacentral:rRNA from 1 species